rnacentral:tRNA from 1 species
GGAGCUGUGGCGCAACGGUAGCGCGUCUGAUUCCAGCCCACACAUAGUUAAGUGUUCGAAUCACUUCAGCUUCA